GCUGGAGGAGCCGGAGAGAUGGAGGUGGAGGAGGUGGAGCAGAGCGUUUUAAUGAGUGUAAACCUGGCUGAGUGUUCGGCGUCUGUGGAGUCCAGGAGUCCAGCGUCUCCUGCAGCAUAAACGAGGUUUCCACGUGUCACCACAGAGAAUGACCUUCAGCUGGCCGAGAGGCGGGAACUCAUCGGCUCCGCUGCGCCUGGGGGCAGGUGGGCAGUAAAUGUGGGGCAGCUCAGCACAGCCAGUGGGUGAGUGUGAGUGGCGGAGCUGUCGUGUCCAUCAGAGGUGGUGAUGAUCCGAGCUUGUGAAGCUGGGUGAGAGUCUCUGCCUCAGUGCUUCAGAGUUUCCUCCCGGCUGAAGGCUUCAUCGGUGAUGAUGGUCACUGCCAGGUCGACGAGAAACGAGGAACCGAGCUGCGUCGGUGUCGCUCGACCCUCGAUUCAGGAGGAGGAUUUUUCCACCUCGUUGCAUCAUUAAAGUUGUUUUACACUUUUUUUUUUCCAAAUAAAGAUCCAGCUGUUUCUAACUGAAGUUGAAUUACAUGUUUCUUUGAAGUAGACAGUUCAUGUUCUGCAUGUUCUAAUGGGACUGUUCUCAGAGCUCUGAAUAUAAAUAAAAAACUUUAUUUAAACAAA